GUGCCAGCAGCCGCGGUAAUACGAAGGGUGCAAGCGUUACUCGGAAUUACUGGGCGUAAAGCGUGCGUAGGUGGUUAUUUAAGUCCGUUGUGAAAGCCCUGGGCUCAACCUGGGAACUGCAGUGGAUACUGGAUGACUAGAAUGUGGUAGAGGGUAGCGGAAUUCCUGGUGUAGCAGUGAAAUGCGUAGAGAUCAGGAGGAACAUCCAUGGCGAAGGCAGCUACCUGGACCAACAUUGACACUGAGGCACGAAAGCGUGGGGAGCAAACAGGAUUAGAUACCCUUGUAGUCC
rnacentral:rRNA from 1 species